UACAGAGGGGGCAAGCGUUUGUUCGGAAUUAUUGGGCGUAAAGGGUGCGUAGGCGGUGCGGUAAGUCUUCUGUGAAAUCUCCGGGCUCAACUCGGAGCCUGCAGGAGAAACUGCCGUGCUUGAGUAUGGGAGAGGUGAGUGGAAUUCCUGGUGUAGCGGUGAAAUGCGUAGAUAUCAAGGAGGGAACACCUGGUGGCGAAAGCGGCUCACUGGACCAUAACUGACGCUGGAGGCAACGAAAGCUAGGGGAGCAAACAGG
rnacentral:rRNA from 1 species